rnacentral:rRNA from 1 species
UGGGGAAUAUUGGACAAUGGACCAAGAGUCUGAUCCAGCAAUUCUGUGUGCACGAUGAAGUUUUUCGGAAUGUAAAGUGCUUUCAGUUGGGAAGAAAGAAAUGACGGUACCAACAGAAGAAGUGACGGCUAAAUACGUGCCAGCAGCCGCGGUAAUACGUAUGUCACAAGCGUUAUCCGGAUUUAUUGGGCGUAAAGCGCGUCUAGGUGGUUAUGUAAGUCUGAUGUGAAAAUGCAGGGCUCAACUCUGUAUUGCGUUGGAAACUGUAUAACUAGAGUACUGGAGAGGUAAGCGGAACUACAAGUGUAGAGGUGAAAUUCGUAGAUAUUUGUAGGAAUGCCGAUGGGGAAGCCAGCUUACUGGACAGAUACUGACGCUGAAGCCNCGAAAGCGUGGGUAGCAAACAGGAUUAGAUACCCUGGUAGUCCAUGCCGUAAACGAUGAUUACUAGGUGUUGGGGGUCGAACCUCAGCGCCCAAGCAAACGCGAUAAGUAAUCCGCCUGGGGAGUACGUACGCAAGUAUG